AGAGUUUGAUCCUGGCUCAGGAUGAACGCUAGCUACAGGCUUAACACAUGCAAGUCGAGGGGCAGCAUUUUAGUUUGCUUGCAAACUGAAGAUGGCGACCGGCGCACGGGUGAGUAACACGUAUCCAACCUGCCGAUAACUCCGGGAUAGCCUUUCGAAAGAAAGAUUAAUACCGGAUGGCAUACGAAUAUCGCAUGAUAUUUUUAUUAAAGAAUUUCGGUUAUCGAUGGGGAUGCGUUCCAUUAGUUUGUUGGCGGGGUAACGGCCCACCAAGACUACGAUGGAUAGGGGUUCUGAGAGGAAGGUCCCCCACAUUGGAACUGAGACACGGUCCAAACUCCUACGGGAGGCAGCAGUGAGGAAUAUUGGUCAAUGGGCGAGAGCCUGAACCAGCCAAGUAGCGUGAAGGAUGAAGGCUCUAUGGGUCGUAAACUUCUUUUAUAUGGGAAUAAAGUUUUCCACGUGUGGAAUUUUGUAUGUACCAUAUGAAUAAGGAUCGGCUAACUCCGUGCCAGCAGCCGCGGUAAUACGGAGGAUCCGAGCGUUAUCCGGAUUUAUUGGGUUUAAAGGGAGCGUAGGCGGAUUGUUAAGUCAGUUGUGAAAGUUUGCGGCUCAACCGUAAAAUUGCAGUUGAAACUGGCAGUCUUGAGUACAGUAGAGGUGGGCGGAAUUCGUGGUGUAGCGGUGAAAUGCUUAGAUAUCACGAAGAACUCCGAUUGCGAAGGCAGCUCACUAGACUGUUACUGACACUGAUGCUCGAAAGUGUGGGUAUCAAACAGGAUUAGAUACCCUGGUAGUCCACACAGUAAACGAUGAAUACUCGCUGUUUGCGAUAUACAGUAAGCGGCCAAGCGAAAGCAUUAAGUAUUCCACCUGGGGAGUACGCCGGCAACGGUGAAACUCAAAGGAAUUGACGGGGGCCCGCACAAGCGGAGGAACAUGUGGUUUAA
rnacentral:rRNA from 1 species